GAUGAACGCUGGCGGCAGGCUUAAUACAUGCAAGUCGAGGGGCAGCAUGAAUGUAGCAAUACAUUUGAUGGCGACCGGCAAACGGGUGCGGAACACGUACACAACCUUCCUAUAAGUGGGGGAUAGCCCAGAGAAAUUUGGAUUAAUACCCCGUAACAUAAUGAUGUGGCAUCACAUUAUUAUUAUAGCUACGGCGCUUGUUGAUGGGUGUGCGGCUGAUUAGAUAGUUGGCGGGGUAACGGCCCACCAAGUCUACGAUCAGUAGCUGAUGUUAGAGGAUGAUCAGCCACACGGGCACUGAGACACGGGCCCGACUCCUACGGGAGGCAGCAGUAAGGAAUAUUGGUCAAUGGACGCAAGUCUGAACCAGCCAUGCCGCGUGAAGGAUUAAGGUCCUCUGGAUUGUAAACUUCUUUUAUCUGGGACGAAAAAAGACUAUUCUUAGUCACUUGACGGUACCAGAUGAAUAAGCACCGGCUAACUCCGUGCCAGCCGCCGCGGUAAGAC
rnacentral:rRNA from 1 species